GCCUGGCUAGCUCAGUUGGUAGACCAUGAGACUCUUAAUCUCAGGGUCCUGGGUUCGUGNCCCACGUUGGGCA
rnacentral:tRNA from 1 species